AAAUAUUUACUCACACCCACAAACGCCAGGGAACUACGAGCCUUAGCUUAAAACCCAAAGGACUUGACGGUGUCCCACCCAACUAGAGGAGCCUGUACUAUAAUCGAUGGUCCCCGAUAAACCCUACCUUUUCUUGCUCAUCAGCCUGUAUACCUCCGUCGUAAAUCUACCAUAUGAAUGAUACACAGCUCGGUUCAAUGAUUUCCCCCAUCAGAACGUCAGGUCAAGGUGCAGCCCAUGAAAAGGCAAGUGAUGGGCUACAAUUUCUAAUCUAGAACAAACGAAAUACUGUAUGAAACACAGGCACAGAAGGAGGAUUUAGAAGUAAAGAGAAAAUAACGAGUUCUCUUAAACAUGGCCCUGGGACACGUACACACCGCCCGUCGCCCUCUUCGAUACUCACUUUU
rnacentral:rRNA from 1 species